rnacentral:rRNA from 1 species
CACGGGGGUUGCGAGCGUUGUCCGGAAUUACUAGGCGUAAAGGGCAGGCAGGCGGAUCCAUAAGUUUAUCGUUUAAGGCGUCGGCUUAACCGGCGUAGGGCGGUAGAUACUGUGGAUCUGGAAUGCGGUUGGGGAAGACAGAAUUCCUGGUGUAGAGGUGGAAUGCGCAGAGAUCAGGAGGAAUACCGAAGGCGAAGGCAGUCUUCCAAGCCGUUAUUGACGCUCAACUGCGAAGGUGCGGGUAUCAAACAGGAUUAGAUACCCGCGUAGUCCCUGAG